AGUGGNGAAUCUUGCACAAUGGAGGAAACUCUGAUGCAGCGAUGCCGCGUGAGUGAAGAAGGCCUUUGGGUUGUAAAGCUCUUUUGUAGGGGAAGAUAAUGACUGUACCCUAAGAAUAAGGUCCGGCUAACUUCGUGCCAGCAGCCGCGGUAAUACGAAGGGACCUAGCGUAGUUCGGAAUUACUGGGCGUAAAGCGCGCGUAGGCCGUUGAGUUAGUUAAUUGUGAAAUCCCAAAGCUUAACUUUGGAACUGCAAUUAAAACUGCUCGACUAGAGUUUGAUAGAGGAAAGCGGAAUACAUAGUGUAGAGGUGAAAUUCGUAGAUAUUAUGUAGAACACCAGUUGCGAAGGCGGCUUUCUGGAUCAACACUGACGCUGAGGCGCGAAAGUAUGGGUAGCAAAGAGGAUUAGAUACCC
rnacentral:rRNA from 1 species